rnacentral:rRNA from 1 species
AGUCGAGGGAGAAGCCCUUUCGGGGGCAGAAACCGGCGCACGGGUGCGUAACGCGUAUGCAACCUACCUUUCACAGGGGGAUAGCCCGAAGAAAUUUGGAUUAAUACCCCAUAAUAUUAUUGGAUGGCAUCAUUUGAUAAUUAAAACUGAGGUGGUGAAAGAUGGGCAUGCGUCCUAUUAGCUAGUUGGAGUGGUAACGGCACCCCAAGGCUACGAUAGGUAGGGGUCCUGAGAGGGAGAUCCCCCACACUGGUACUGAGACAGGGACCAGACUCCUACGGGAGGCAGCAGUGAGGAAUAUUGGUCAAUGGUCGGAAGACUGAACCAGCCAUGCCGCGUGCAGGAAGAAUGCCUUAUGGGUUGUAAACUGCUUUUAUAUGGGAAGAAUAAGGCGUACGUGUACGUUGAUGACGGUACCAUAUGAAUAAGCAUCGGCUAACUCCGUGCCAGCAGCCGCGGUAAUACGGAGGAUGCGAGCGUUAUUCGGAAUCAUUGGGUUUAAAGGGUCUGUAGGCGGGCUAUUAAGUCA